ACGGGUGAGUAAUAUAUAGCUAACUUGCCCCUUACUAAGGGACAACAGUUGGAAACGACUGCUAAUACCUUAUACUCCGUAUCUAUAUAAAUAGAUACGGAAAAGUUUUUCGGGAAUGGAUAGGGCUAUAUCGUAUCGACUAGUUGGUAAGGGAACGGCUUACCAAGGCUAUGACCCAUAACUGGUCUGACAGGAUGAUCAAUCCCCCUGGAACUGACACACGGUCCAGACUCCUACCGGAGGCAGCAGUAGGGAAUAUUGUUCGGUGGGGGAAACCCUGAAGCAUCCACCCCGCGUGGAGGAUGACACUUUUCGGAGCGUAUACUCCUUUUCUUGGGAAAGAAUUAUGACGGAACCCAAGGAAUAAGCUCCGGCUAACUCCGUGCCAGCAGCCGCGGUAAUACGGAGGGUGCAAGCGUUACUCGGAAUCACUGGGUGUAAAGGACGCGUACGCGGAUUAUCAAGUCUCUUGUGAAAUCUAACGGCUUAACCGUUAAACUGCUUGAGACACUGAUAAUCUAGAGUAAUGGAGAGGCAAAUGGAAUUCUUGGUGUAGGGGUAAAAUCCGUAGAGAUCACGAAUAAUACCCAUUGCGAAAGCGAUCUGCUGGAACUUAACUGACGCUAAUGCGUGCAAGCGUGUGGAGCAAAGCUGAUGAGAUACCCUGGGGAGUCCACGACCUAAAUC
rnacentral:rRNA from 1 species